rnacentral:lncRNA from 1 species
GCAAGGUCAUUAGCCCAAAUGUUCCUUCCAUCAACAACACCAGCAAAGAGGUACUUGUCCUUGGGGAAACCAGACUUGAUCAAGUCAAUGGUCUUGGUUCCACGAAUCAAAUCAAAUCCAAAGGCAGUCACACCCUUCAAGGAAGUAAGGGUCUUGUAUGCUUCAGCAGGGACAUCAGCAAAGUAAGUCUCCACAAGAACAUUCAGUCCAGAGAGAGUUGAUUCAAGCUCAGCAUAGGCACCACUAAAAGCCUGGAGUUUGUGACCCUCUAGAUCCAUUACAAAAAGAGGCUCAUCAAAUUGAAUCCAUGUG